UACAGAGGUCUCAAGCGUUGUUCGGAAUCACUGGGCGUAAAGGGUGCGUAGGCGGUGCGGCAAGUCAGAUGUGAAAUCCCGGGGCUCAACCUCGGAACUGCAUCCGAUACUGCCCAUCUUGAAGGUGGCUAGGGGGAGAUGGAAUUACCGGUGUAGCGGAUGAAAUGCGUAGAGAUCGGUAGGAACACCAGUGGCGAAGGCGGUCUCCUGGAGCAUACUUGACGCUGAGGCGCGAAAGCUGGGGGAGCGAACGGG
rnacentral:rRNA from 1 species